rnacentral:rRNA from 1 species
CUGGAAACGGUAGCUAAUACCGCAUAACGUCUUCGGACCAAAGUGGGGGAUCUUCGGACCUCACGCCACCGGAUGUGCCCAGAUGGGAUUAGCUAGUAGGUGGGGUAACGGCUCACCUAGGCGACGAUCCCUAGCUGGUCUGAGAGGAUGACCAGCCACACUGGAACUGAGACACGGUCCAGACUCCUACGGGAGGCAGCAGUGGGGAAUAUUGCACAAUGGGCGCAAGCCUGAUGCAGCCAUGCCGCGUGUAUGAAGAAGGCCUUCGGGUUGUAAAGUACUUUCAGCGGGGAGGAAGGCGGUGAGGUUAAUAACCUCGCCGAUUGACGUUACCCGCAGAAGAAGCACCGGCUAACUCCGUGCCAGCAGCCGCGGUAAUACGGAGGGUGCAAGCGUUAAUCGGAAUUACUGGGCGUAAAGCGCACGCAGGCGGUCUGUUAAGUCAGAUGUGAAAUCCCCGGGCUUAACCUGGGAACUGCAUUUGAAACUGGCAGGCUUGAGUCUCGUAGAGGGGGGUAGAAUUCCAGGUGUAGCGGUGAAAUGCGUAGAGAUCUGGAGGAAUACCGGUGG